AUGGAGUUCACGGGGCCGGAGCACGCCGCCGGGACGCCGCCCGGCACGCGCGCGCCCUCCGACGCCUCCUCGGGGAACAGCGGGGCGGCCGGGAGCUGGGAGGCGAGGUACCGCGAGUGCCUGCGCAACCACGCGGCCGCGCAGGGCGGGCACGCCGUGGAUGGGUGCGGGGAGUUCAUGCCCUCCGGCGCCCACGACCUCCUCAGGUGCGCCGCCUGCGGGUGCCACCGCAGCUUCCACCGCAGGGACGACGGGCAGCAGCACCCCCGCCUCUUCCUCCCCGCGCCCGCCGCCACGCCGACGACGGCUCCGCGCGUGCCGCUGCUCAUGCCGCCUCCGCAGCACCACCACCCCUACGCGGCCGGCCACCCGCUCGCGCCGCCGUUCGCGUACAACCCCCACCACCACCAAUACCAACGCACACCCAGCGGCGGUGGCACGACGACCGAGUCGUCCAGCGAGGAGCCCGGCCCGGGCCCGCCCUCGACGUCGGCUCCAGGGCAGGGGCACGGGCAGGCGCGGCGGCCGAAGCGGUUCCGGACGAGGUUCACGGCAGAGCAGAGGGGGCAGAUGCUGGCGCUGGCGGAGCGGGUGGGGUGGCGGAUGCUGAAACAAGACGAGGCCCUGGUGGAGCAGCUCUGCGCGCAGGCUGGCGUCCGGCGGCAGGUCUUCAAGGUCUGGAUGCACAACAACAAGCACCACAGGAGGCAGCCGCAGCCGCCACAGUCCCAACAGCAGCAACAACAACGGUAG
rnacentral:rRNA from 1 species